UACGUAGGGGGCGAGCGUUGUCCGGAGUUACUGGGCGUAAAGCGCUUGUAGGCGGUCCACCAAGUUUGGGGUGACAGUUGCCGACUUAAUCGGCAAAGUGCCUCAAAGACUGGCGGACUUGAGGGCCACAGAGGGACAUGGAACUCCAGGUGUAGUGGUGAAAUGCGUAGAUAUCUGGAAGAACACCAAAGGCGAAGGCAGUGUCCUGGGCGGUCGCUGACGCUGAGAGGCGAAAGCCAGGGGAGCGAACGGG
rnacentral:rRNA from 1 species